UAUUGUGAUGCAAACACCAAGGGAGUGGGAAGCAGCCUGAGAGCCAAGGAGACAGCACCUAGGAGAGCUCACUCACAGUCCAGAGAGGAGGCAGGGAGCCUGGAAUGAAAAGACCUCUGAAGAGUAUCUAGUAAAUCCGCAUCAGGUUCCUGCAGAGAGUCACGGACGACUUCUUUCUGGGUCUGGAGCUGGAGCGGUGAUGUCCAGGACAGAAGCUGCGAGGUAAGGGGCACAGAAGCCUGUUGUGGGAGGGUCUGAUGCUUUGCAUUUUCCUCUUAGGGUCGAAGGCUACGUGUCAGCCUACGGCAGGUAAAGGGGAGACCUGCUUAUGGUCACACCCCCCCGUAGAGGGUUGGAAGGUGUUUGGGGAGGGCUAGGCAGGGCUCUUGUCUCCAGAGGCUGAGUAGGAGGACCCUGGCCUCCUGACCUGUCCCCCCAGCAGGCUGAGUGCACUUCAUCCCCUGCUUCCUGGUUCAUUCUGUGGCUCAGAGGCCAGGUAAGUGGUUCUGGGAGAGGAAGUCCCAGGAGUGAUAAGGAGGAUGUUGCUGGGAGGUCUUUCUCUCCCAGAAGAAUUACAACCCAGGCUGCUUACGAGGAACUGGACAUCUUACCCUCCCGGAAAACCAGGAGGUAAGGAGCUUCCUGCCCUGGGGAAGGGAAAGAGGAAGUCCUAUUUUCCCAGAUGUCCUCAGGUCAGUUGAGAAGAAGGAGGGCAGUGGUGUGGGUCUGUCCAGGUGUUUGGAGAAAGUGAUGGCCACUCUCAGGCUGAAAGCACCUCCUCGCACACAGGUAGGUCUUUGAUGUCAACAUGUGAGCAGGUGUGAACACAUGCCCAGGAUGCACAGUUGGCGAGAACUGACCACUGUGGCCAUUGUAUGUGUUCCUUUCCCUCUACCUGUUAUGGGAAGGAAUGUAGGGAGGUGAGGCCGCUCAGACCUGGAGGACAUGGUAAGGGCUAUUUCAACUGUUCAUUUUUGCAUUGAUUCUGUGUGUGGUUCUUUAUGUGAGCUGGGAAGAGCCUGAGACAGAAGAUGCCAGAGGAGGACCUUGGAGCAUCUGGGGGAUGGCAGGCCUUGCUGUCUUUGCCACUGAAAGUGCACCGUCCCUCCCUGGGUUUGGAAUGGACGAGAGCCUGCUGUCCUCACCUGGAGGAGUCUUCUUACUGCAUAGCAGGUUGGAGCUCUUUAUGCAUUUUCCGGGCAAUUUCAGCAGCUCUCCACCUCUUCAACCCAGCCUCAUGGAAGUUUGGUUGUGGUCUGGGGACAGGAGAUGGCUUUUCUCCGUCUCUUCACACACCUGGCCAUGCCCCACACGAGCUUACUGCCCAUCCACCUGUGGCCAGGUUUGGUGAGCUCCCUGCCUUCUCCAGGUUGAGCCGACCUGCUUGGGCUGUGCAGCUGCUAUCUGGCAGCCCAGGGACUCUGACCAAGCCCCUGCCCCUAGGGUCUGCGUUCUGAGAAACAGCUCUGCUUCCUCUCUGUAGGAGACUUGGCACAGGAGAGGGAGAUGCAGAGGCUGGACCUAUCAGGCCAGGGAGCUAGCUUCUGGAGACUUCAAUCAGAAGGGGUCCACUGGAAACAUGGCUCCUCUCAGCCUCUUUGCUGAUUCCGGGUGGAAGGCACAGGACUGGGGAUGGAACCCAGCGAUGCUUUACCUCUGAUCUGCAUUCCUCGUCCUUUUCAUUUUUUAUCGAGAAAGGGUCUUGCUGAGUUGCGAAGGCUGGUCUGGAACUUGCAAUCUGCCUUCUUCAGCCUCCCGAGAAGCUGACAUUACAGGCUUGUGUCACCAAGCCCAUCGGGAAGUUGGCUCUGAAAGCCAUAAAGGGGCUGUUGACCCUCACGGAGUUGGGAUGCAGGUGA